GAAAGUAGCUGAAAGAGUUAUUUAGUGCAGUUCACCUAGCCCUUGCUGGAUGAAGUGUUGUGGCAGGCUUUGUAUGUGGAAGAGCUGAGUAAGAUUGCAGACUGAAGGGUUGAGGCAGGAUCCAUGUACAACUCUGAACUAUGAUAACUGAAAAGGAACCUCCCAACUUUUCACUUGGAGCUGCUAAAUGUGCUUGCAUACUUGGAUAUUGAAGACAGCUGCUCCAAAAACAGGUACUGCAUUGCAGAUGAUCUUUGUUUGGUCACACCAACUGGAGGAGUAUGGGGAGUCCUGACCUAAGAGACUCACUUUCCUGAAGGAACUAGGAUGACACUUUUUUAAAAUACAUUCCACAGGAUCAAGUGGUAGUUACAGAACAGAACUUCUA
rnacentral:lncRNA from 1 species